AGAGCGAAGUGGGUGGGAAUGU
rnacentral:miRNA from 1 species